rnacentral:lncRNA from 1 species
UCUCCCAUGAAGGUGGAGAAGGAACUCCUUCCCGCAGCGGCCCAACUUCCGGGAGCCAGGGGCGACUCCAGCAGAAACCACGACCUCGUGCGGAGGACAUGCUGGAGAAGCCCCCAGGGCCCUGGUGCACUGGAUUCUUCCUGCGAGAACCUCAUUCCUCUCUGUUCCGUGUCUCCCAAUCCACCUCCUGCCUCCGAGUCCCCUCCACACGGGGACUGCAGGGGACAGCGUCCAUGGAGCUGCUGGGAACUGCACGUCCGCACCUGUAUCCAGGCAUCUGUAGGGGGAGCUGCCGUGUUCUUGCCUGAUCCCUCCUACCUAGACCACUCUGGGCCAUUGAGACUCUUCCCUGGAACUGGGGUCUUAGAAGCCCAUUCAUUUUUAGUGGCUGAGAUCGCAGGCAGAAAGCUCAGGCACUGUCCAUGUCCAUCGUGGAGAACAGAGCCAAAGAAAGGAACGCAGGGAGCUGGUGCCCAGGGAAGAACAGGAACCAGAGGAGCUGAACAGAAGCAGAUGCUGCCAGGGACAUGGGCCACAAGGUCAGCAGGACUGGCUGGGGCAGCUGACUGGGGUACAGGGAAGAGGGAACAGAGUCAGGCAGGGGGUGGAGAAUUAACAAGGGAAGAGAUCAGAGUGUUUUAAGGAAAACCUCAUUUUCAACCAUGCUCCCCAAGAAAAGGGGGCUGGUGGAUCAACGGAGGUGACGUCGGCAGUGCAGACUGAGGAUGGUGAUUCGGGAGCUCUGACCAGACAGCAUUGUCUCUGCAGGAAAAACCAAGCUGGAACUGGAAAGAUCAGUGCUGACUCUGCAUUUGUCUCCACUGCGAGAUACCAUGUCCAAUAUUGCCACGAUAAUUCAGCUGAUGGAAGUAAAACGAUUCCAUCUCUUGACAACAGGUUUAUGACUCCUCUAUUUUUAAAAACAAGCUAAAUAUUUUAUUUCUUUCAAAAAAAUGUGAUUUUUUUCCUUACCAGCCACAAUAACUUAAAUGAGUGACACUCUUCAGUGCAUAUAUGUAUCGUGUUUUUCUCUUUUUGAAUAGCUAAUACAUAUAUAUGACUGUCUUAGAAAACAGAGCACAGAGGGGUGGGUGGUAAAAAGUGAAUCUUCCCCUCUCCCACUCUGCAUUUAAAGCACUGAUACUUGGGUUGGCAUCCAGCACCAUGGCUAGGACACCACUUGGGAUACCCACAUCCCAGAUCAGAACAUCUGGGUCCGAGUCCCAGCUCCAUUCUCAAUUCUAGCUUCUUGGAAGGCAGCCGGCAAUGGCUCCACUAGUUGGGAGACCUGGAUUGAGUUCUGGGAUCCUGGUUUUCAGCCUGGCCCAUCCCUGGCUGCUGUGGGCAUUUGAGGAGUAAACUAAUAGUUAGGAUCUCUCUCUCUCUCUCUCUCUCUCACUGCAUUUCAAUAAAAUUUAAAAUAAAAAUUCA